GACAGAGGUCCCAAGCGUUAGGCGGAAUCACUGGGCUUAAAGCGUGUGUAGGCGGAUUUGUAAGUACCUUGUGAAAUCCCACGGCUCAACCGUGGAACUGCUUGGUAUACUGCUUAUCUUGGGUCAUCUAGGGGCGAGCGGAACAAACGGUGGAGCGGUGAAAUGCGUAGAUAUCGGGAGGAACACCGGUGGCGAAGGCGGGUCUCUGGGCAAUUCCUGACGCUGAGGCGCGAAAGCGUGGGGAGCAAACGGG
rnacentral:rRNA from 1 species